GGAACUCGUAUGCAUGAUCGCCUGAAUAGUACUUUUGCAGGCGAAAUUAGUUGAGGUCGGGCGUACAUUGGAGUUGAGGCAUAGACAACAGCGUGGCUUCCGCGUUUUUAUUUGAUUUAGGUUUUCCUUGAUCACCCUUGCUAUUAGAUUUGCUCUGAUUACAUGAGGAAAUUAAUGUUAUUUAAGUUGUGUUUUGUGUCA